rnacentral:lncRNA from 1 species
AUUAAGAACAGACAGUCUCAGCUCUGUGACUUUGUAGAUGAGGUUAGGAAGAGAGCUCGAUCACAGCAAGGAUUCAGGGCCUCAGGCAAGCUUCUGUUAUUGACCUUCCUGCAAAGAGGUCCCCUUGACAAUGCAGGGGGUGCAAAAUGUGUAAGAUGUAGUUUCUGCCCUCGUGCAGGUUAAAACGAAGGAUUCGUGUGUGAAAAGGAAUCAGAUAAGACAUAAAAUUGUAUUCCCGCGCCUGCCGCCAUUGCCUCUGCAGAGGGAGAGACUGGCUUUUGGAUUCUGUCCCCGGCUGCUCCGUCUCGGCCUCGUCAGGGAGGCCGUCGCCUCCCUUCUGCAUGGUGUGUUCCUCCUCAUCCUUCAAGUCUUGGCUUAACUCUCAUCUUCUCAGAGGCUUUCUUUGCCUGCUCCAAUCUAAAGGAAGCUGCCCCAUUACUAUCUCUUACAGUACAGUAGGUUCAGUGAUGGCCCCCAAAAGACAAAUAGAAGAGAAACACAAUGGGAGAAGAGGAGAAGGCCAUGGGAAGAUGGAGGCAGAGCUUGGAGGGAGGCAGCCGCAAGCCAGGGACACCCGGGGCCACCAGAAGCUGGAAGAGACGAGGGAUGGUUCUCCCCAGAGCCUCUGGAGGGAGCCUGGCUCUGCCCGCACCUUGGUUUUGGACUUCCAGCCUCCAGAACUGUGAGAGA